GACGAACGCUGGCGGCGUGCUUAACACAUGCAAGUCGAACGGAAAGGCCCUGCUUUUGUGGGGUGCUCGAGUGGCGAACGGGUGAGUAACACGUGAGUAACCUGCCCUUGACUUUGGGAUAACUUCAGGAAACUGGGGCUAAUACCGGAUAGGAGCUCCUGCUGCAUGGUGGGGGUUGGAAAGUCUCGGCGGUUGGAGAUGGACUCGCGGCUUAUCAGCUUGUUGGUGGGGUAGUGGCUUACCAAGGCUUUGACGGGUAGCCGGCCUGAGAGGGUGACCGGCCACAUUGGGGCUGAGAUACGGCCCAGACUCCUACGGGAGGCAGCAGUGGGGAAUAUUGCACAAUGGGCGGAAGCCUGAUGCAGCAACGCCGCGUGCGGGAUGACGGCCUUCGGGUUGUAAACCGCUUUCGCCUGUGACGAAGCGUGAGUGACGGUAAUGGGUAAAGAAGCACCGGCUAACUACGUG
rnacentral:rRNA from 1 species